rnacentral:rRNA from 1 species
UUACCCUGUGAAGGAUCCAUAGUAGGCUAAAUUAGUAAAACCCAAAACGCCAGGUCGAGGUGUAGCACAUGAGAGGGGAAGAAAUGGGCUACAUUCCCUAUUUUAGGGAACACGAACAGUGUAAUGAAAAGAACACUAGAAGGAGGAUUUAGUAGUAAGCAGGAAACAGAGUGUUCUGCUGAAACUGGCCCUGAAGCGCGCACACACCGCCCGUCACUCUCCCCAAACCAACUAACCCUAGAUUCAUAACACAUCUGCCCGG